rnacentral:rRNA from 1 species
CCUACGGGAGGCAGCAGUGGGGAAUAUUGCACAAUGGGCGCAAGCCUGAUGCAGCGACGCCGCGUGAGGGAUGACGGCCUUCGGGUUGUAAACCUCUUUCAGUAGGGAAGAAGCGAAAGUGACGGUACCUGCAGAAGAAGCGCCGGCUAACUACGUGCCAGCAGCCGCGGUAAUACGUAGGGCGCAAGCGUUAUCCGGAAUUAUUGGGCGUAAAGAGCUCGUAGGCGGUUUGUCGCGUCUGCUGUGAAAGACCGGGGCUCAACUCCGGUUCUGCAGUGGGUACGGGCAGACUAGAGUGCAGUAGGGGAGACUGGAAUUCCUGGUGUAGCGGUGAAAUGCGCAGAUAUCAGGAGGAACACCGAUGGCGAAGGCAGGUCUCUGGGCUGUAACUGACGCUGAGGAGCGAAAGCAUGGGGAGCGAACAGGAUUAGAUACCCUGGUAGUCCAUGCCGUAAACGUUGGGCACUAGGUGUGGGGGACAUUCCACGUUUUCCGCGCCGUAGCUAACGCAUUAAGUGCCCCGCCUGGGGGAGGUACGGCCGCGACGACGUAAACGUACAAGAAGUAGUAGACGCGNGAGAGCGACGACGACGACGACGGAGGGAGGAGG